CCUACGGGAGGCAGCAGUGGGGAAUAUUGCACAAUGGGGGAAACCCUGAUGCAGCGACGCCGCGUGAGUGAAGAAGUAUUUCGGUAUGUAAAGCCCUAUCAGCAGGGAAGAAAAUGACGGUACCUGUUUAAGAAGCCCCGGCUAACUACGUGCCAGCAGCCGCGGUAAUACGGAGGGGGCAAGCGUUAUCCGGAUUUACUGGGGGUAAAGGGAGCGUAGACGGCAGCACAAGUCUGGAGUGAAAUGCCGGGGCUUAACCCCGGAACUGCUUUGGAAACUGUGUAGCUAGAGUGCAGGAGAGGUAAGUGGAAUUCCUGGUGUAGCGGUGAAAUGCGUAGAUAUUAGGAGGAACACCAGUGGCGAAGGCGGCUUACUGGACUGUAACUGACGUUGAGGCUCGAAAGCGUGGGGAGCAAACAGGAUUAGAUACACUUGUAGUC
rnacentral:rRNA from 1 species